rnacentral:rRNA from 1 species
UAAAAAGCUCGUAGUUGGAUCUGUGUUUCGGACGGUCGGUUCGCCGCUCGCGGCGUUCAACUGGCCGGUCCGUACGUCCUGCCGGUGGGCGGGGCUGGGGCGCGAGCCUCGGCCCCCGCCCGACAAAAUCCCUCCGCUGCUGCUCUUCACCGGGUGGUGCGGCGGGCCGGCACGUUUACUUUGAACAAAUCCGAGUGCUUAAAGCAGGCUGCUUGUCGCCUGAAGGUUGAGUGCAUGGAAUAAUGGAAUAGGACCUCUGUUCUAUUUUGUUGGCUUUUCUGAACCAGAGGUAAUGAUUAAUAGGGACAGACGGGGGCAUUCGUAUUGCGGCGUUAGAGGUGAAAUUCUUGGAUCGUCGCAAGACGUACCGAUGCGAAAGCGUUUGCCAAGAAUGUUUUCGCUAAUCAAGAACGAAAGUUAGAGGUUCGAAGGCGAUCAGAUACCGCCCUAGUUCUAACCAUAAACGAUGCCAGCCAGCGAUGCGCCGACGUUCCUCCGAUGACUCGGCGCGCAGCUUCCCGGGAAACCAAAGCUUUUGAGUUCCGGGG